rnacentral:rRNA from 1 species
GGAGUUAGCCGGUGCUUCUUCUGCGAGUAACGUCACAGAUGUAAGGUAUUAACUUACACCCUUUCCUCCUCGCUGAAAGUGCUUUACAACCCGAAGGCCUUCUUCACACACGCGGCAUGGCUGCAUCAGGGUUUCCCCCAUUGUGCAAUAUUCCCCACUGCUGCCUCCCGUAGGAGUCUGGGCCGUGUCUCAGUCCCAGUGUGGCUGAUCAUCCUCUCAGACCAGCUAGGGAUCGUCGCCUAGGUGAGCCUUUACCUCACCUACUAGCUAAUCCCACCUGGGCUUAUCCAUCAGCGCAAGGCCCGAAGGUCCCCUGCUUUCCCCCGUAGGGCGUAUGCGGUAUUAGCAGUCGUUUCCAACUGUUAUCCCCCACAAAUGGGCAAAUUCCCAGGCAUUACUCACCCGUCCGCCGCUCGUCAUCUUCAAAAGCAAGCUUUUGAAAUGUUACCGCUCGACUUGCAUGUGUUAGGCCUGCCGCCAGCGUUCAAUAUGAGCCAGAAUCGAACCCUGA